rnacentral:rRNA from 1 species
AGGUUUGAUCAUGGCUCAGAUUGAACGCUGGCGGUAUGCUUAAGACAUGCAAGUCGAACGGAAUCUUCGGAUUCAGUGGCGGACGGGUGAGUAACACGUGGGAAUCUACUGAGUAGUGGGGGACAGCCCGGCGAAAGCCGGAUUAAUACCGCAUACGCCCUACGGGGGAAAGGCGCAAGCCGCUAUUUAAUGAGCCCGCGUAAGAUUAGCUAGUUGGUAAGGUAAAGGCUUACCAAGGCGACGAUCUUUAGCUGGUCUGAGAGGAUGGCCAGCCACAUCGGGACUGAGACACGGCCCGGACUCCUACGGGAGGCAGCAGUCGGGAAUAUUGGACAAUGGGCGCAAGCCUGAUCCAGCAAUACCGCGUGUGUGAAGAAGGCCUGCGGGUUGUAAAGCACUUUCAGUUGAGAAGAUAAUGACGUUACCAACAGAAGAAGCACCGGCUAACUCCGUG